AUUUAUCAUCUCCAUCUCUAGCUUUGUUCCUCCUGAAUGGAGAAAGUGGGCAAAGGAGCUGACAGGACACCUUCUCCAACUUCACCAAUUGCAGAUAAAUCAACAGCCUUCAAACUCACUUGGGCUUUUCGAUUCUUCGCGCUUUCUCUCUGUUUCCGCUCUUCUUCCUUUUUUCUUCUAAUCUGUCUUCGACUGAAUUUUUCUCUUCUUUUGGGUUUAGCUGAUUUGCAU
rnacentral:misc_RNA from 1 species